rnacentral:rRNA from 1 species
UACGGGGGGGGCAAGCGUUGUUCGGAAUUACUGGGCGUAAAGGGCUCGUAGGCGGCCAACUAAGUCAGACGUGAAAUCCCUCAGCUUAACUGAGGAACUGCGUCUGAUACUGGAUGGCUUGGAUUCGGGAGAGGGAUGCGGAAUUCCAGGUGUAGCGGUGAAAUGCGUAGAUAUCUGGAGGAACACCGGUGGCGAAGGCGGCAUCCUGGACCGAUAUUGACGCUGAGGAGCGAAAGCGUGGGUAGCGAACAGG